AACUAAAUUAUUUAUCCACUGGUGAGAAAAAAACGAACGUUUGUAAAUGGCCUUUAUAAUGGAAUCAAAAGAGCCAAAGUUAAGAGUAUUUGUCUAAAGAUUACUCAAGACACAAGGUAAAAAGAACAAACGAGACCCAUCUUAUGGGAGGUUUCAAUCUCAAGCUUACUCGAGACGUUUAUAUCAAUAAGAAAGAUAAACAUGAGCGGGUGUAGGGAGGAUAUCUAUUUCCAUUACUCAAUCCUGUUAUUUCCAUUACUCAAUCCUGUUAUUUCUAUUACUCAAUCAUGCUAUUUCUAUUACUCAAUCUUGCAAUUUUUAUUGCUCAAUCAUCUUUGAAAAAAGAACAAAGAUCACAAUGAAAAACAACUCACUCUGCUGGAUAAAACAUGGGAAAAUGUCAAAAACAAAUGAGUUAUCUAUUGUUUAUUAUGACACUGUGGAAGAGAAGCUUUUACGUCAACAUAUUUGUGGUAAAUUGAACAAAUGGAUACAACGAUUUUUCUUUUAGUAGUGUCGCACAAGUGACGCUUGUUUUUAGAGGGAAAAUAACCUUCCUAAAUAUGGUACACUUCAUUAACUUCCUAUGUCAAUAAACAGAAAGUAAAGGGAAAAUAUUUGUGCUUUUACAAAAACAGAUUGCAAAUUAUACAUACAAA